rnacentral:rRNA from 1 species
UACGGAGGAUGCGAGCGUUAUCCGGAUUUAUUGGGUUUAAAGGGUGCGUAGGCGGACUGUCAAGUCAGCGGUAAAAUUGAGAGGCUCAACCCCUUCCCGCCAUUGAAACUGGCGAUCUUGAGUGGAAGAGAAGUAUGCGGAAUGCGUGGUGUAGCGGUGAAAUGCAUAGAUAUCACGCAGAACCCCGAUUGCGAAGGCAGCAUGCCGGCUUCCUACUGACGCUGAAGCACGAAAGCGUGGGGAUCGAACAGG